GGCCGUCUUAGACGCGACUAGCGGUAUCGUAAAAAGCACUUCGCACGCUUGAAUGAAACUCGACAGAAAAGGGAGAGAAACUGUCCGAAAGGUGGCAAAAGGGUUGAACGGGCAAGCCGGCCACCUUUUGACGCUUCUCCGCCGACGAAAACUCGUUUGCAGACCGCAUGACACACCGUUAAUUGGGCCUCGAAACGCCUGCAGCCUCCGUGCAC
rnacentral:misc_RNA from 1 species